UGAUGGUGUUUAUGACGUCGAAUAUCGACGUCAUAAACACCAAACUUGAUGGUGUUUAUGACAUCGAAUAUCGACGUCAUACACACCAAACAUGA
rnacentral:miRNA from 1 species